AAGUUGCUUUUUGAGAUUUUUCUCGCCUUAGCCCUGAAUGCUGCAUGCUCUGAAAGAAUCCAGUUAUGGGAACACAAAUUACCUCAUCCUCAGUUUCACUUUAAAAUAAAAUAAAUAGGUUAGAUUUUCAAGUGUUAUUAAGUUGCUUACACAAAUUUAAAGUCAUGAGCAUGACUUUAGGAUCUGUGCUUUUUAUGUCAAGUGCU
ensembl:lncRNA novel transcript